CGACACGGGGAGGUAGUGACGAAAAAUAACAAUACAGGACUCUAACGAGGCCCUGUAAUUGGAAUGAGUACAUUCUAAAACUCUUAACGAGUAUCCAUUGGAGGGCAAGUCUGGUGCCAGCAGCCGCGGUAAUUCCAGCUCCAACAGUGUAUGCUAAAGUUGUUGCGGUUGAAAAGCUCGUAGUUGGAUUUUGGGCGGGCGCGGUCGGUCCGUCGCAGGGCGUGUACUGGCCGCGCUCGCCUCGACGUCGGUUCUCCGUCGGUGCUCUUGACUGAGUGUCGGCGGUGGCCGAGAAGUUUACUUUGAAAAAAUUAGAGUGUUCAAAGCAGGCUGGUCGCCUGUAUAGUGUUGCAUGGAAUAAUGGAAUAGGACCUCGGUUCUAUUUUGUUGGUUUUCGGAGCGCGAGGUAAUGAUUAAGAGGGACAGACGGGGGCGUCCGUACUCUGCCGUUAGAGGUGAAAUUCUUGGAUCGGCGGAAGACGAACUACUGCGAAAGCAUUCGCCAAGAAUGUUUUCUUUAAUCAAGAGCGAAAGUCAGAGGUUCGAAGACGAUCAGAUACCGUCCUAGUUCUGACUAUAAACGAUGCCAACUAGCGAUCGGGAGGCGUUACCAUGACGACCUUCCCGGCAGCUUCCGGGAAACCAAAGUCUUUGGGUUCCGGGGGAAGUAUGGUUGCAAAGCUGAAACUUAAAGGAAUUGACGGAAGGGCACCACCAGGAGUGGAGCCUGCGGCUUAAUUUGACUCAACACGGGGAAACUCACCCGGCCCGGACACAGGUAGGAU
rnacentral:rRNA from 1 species